rnacentral:rRNA from 1 species
GAUGAACGCUGGCGGCGUGCCUAAUACAUGCAAGUCGAGCGAACGGACGAGAAGCUUGCUUCUCUGAUGUUAGCGGCGGACGGGUGAGUAACACGUGGAUAACCUACCUAUAAGACUGGGAUAACUUCGGGAAACCGUAGCUAAUACCGGAUAAUAUUUUGAACCGCAUGGUUCAAAAGUGAAAGACGGUCUUGCUGUCACUUAUAGAUGGAUCCGCGCUGCAUUAGCUAGUUGGUAAGGUAACGGCUUACCAAGGCAACGAUGCAUAGCCGACCUGAGAGGGGGUUCGGCCCCACUGGAACUGGAACACGGUCCAGACUCCUACGGGAGGCAGCAGUAGGGAAUCUUCCGCAAUGGGCGAAAGCCUGACGGAGCAACGCCGCGUGGAUGAUGAAGGUCUUCGGAUCGUAAAACUCUGUUAUUAUGGAAGAACAUAUGUGUAAGUAACUGUGCACAUCUUGACGGUACCUAAUCAGAAAGCCACGGCUAACUACGUG